AGAGGCACUUUUGUUCCCCCAAGCGAGCGCUCCGACCGAUCUGCUCAUCCGAGGAGUAGACCCUUGCGCAUUCGGCUGUGUGAGCUCGGCAAUCACUACGGUCUCAGAAUCCUGCGGAAAAUCAGAGACCUUCGAUUUGUUGAUGUCAAUCUUGCCGCUCUGUGCGGUGAAGCAGUUCAAAUAAAUGAGCAACUACCGAUCACGUGCUUGCGUAACUUUACUGUUUUGAUGAUGGAUGGUCUUCAUAGCAUCCAAUAGUCUUGAAGAGCUCAACUAUCUUUCUCCACGUGGAUUCGCACAAUUCUUGCUCUUUUCUUGUUUUUCAAGAGAAGGUAAAUUGCAGUCAUUGAGACAGUCUUUAUCAAAAACAAGCAAAGCUAUGAUAUCUAGGGAAAGCAUAGACAGGGAACUUUUUUCAUAAUUUAUAAACUGAUCAUGCUUACCUCACGUGGGAAAUUUUCUGCGAAUUGAGAUAAUUACUGUCUUAUUAAGAUUUGUUCAAUUGUUCAAUCAUAGUGUGAGGAAUAAAUGUUACCUAAUUCACAUGAAACUCCAAACCCCAAAACCUACCCAAAACCCAACUCACAAAUCAAGGCCCAUACACUUAAGGUGGGUUAAUCCACGCAAGAUUGCAGGUCAAUCCUGGAGAGAUGACUUUCUUUGGAAGGUACAUGCGUAUGAAAAGCCCACAUAUCAUCUUUGUUAUCUAAUUUGCUUAAUUGAUUGUGGGGGGAGAAGGUGGAAACGGAAAAAGCAAAGCCAGAUAUAUUGUGCCAUUAUUACAUUUCCGUAUCUCAAUUAGUAUCUGUGUUUCUUCAGCUUUGAUGAUAUCUAAAUUCCUGAGGAUGUGCUUUCGUAUUAGUUUGCUGCGGAAGCAACCGGAUUGAUAGUCGAGUUAU